rnacentral:rRNA from 1 species
GAUGAACGCUGGCGGCGUGCCUAAUACAUGCAAGUCGAGCGAACAGACGAGGAGCUUGCUCCUCGGACGUUAGCGGCGGACGGGUGAGUAACACGUGUAUAACCUACCUAUAAUACUGGUAUAACUUCGGGAAACCGGAUCAUAUACCGUAGAAGAUAUUGAUGCGCAGGGGUGGAUAGAGAGAGUCGGCGGUUGUGGCAGUAAUAGAUGGAUCCGUGCCGCUUGAGCUAGUUGGGAAGGUAACGGCUUACGAAGGGAAGGAUGCGUAGCCGACCUGAGAGCGUGAUCGGCCACACUGGAACUGAGACACGGUCCAGACGCCUACGGGAGGCAGCAGUAGGGAAUCUUCCGCAAUGGGCGAAAGCCUGACGGAGCAACGCCGCGUGAGUGAUGAAGGUCUUCGGAUCGUAAAACUCUGUUAUUAGGGAAGAACAAAUGUGUAAGUAACUAUGCACGUCUUGACGGUACCUAAUCAGAAAGCCACGGCUAACUACGUG